AGUUAACGAGAUGCCAACCAAAUGAACGUGAUGAGGGACAACGUUUAUGAUUGUGCAAUGAGAGGCUUUUCAGAGAGCCUGCUUUAAUCCAGAGGUAAAAAUAGACAUGGUUUUUAGGGAUGCUGACGGAAAAGGGGCAGCUGAUGAGGGUGGUCCCUCAAGAGAUUUCCCCGGCUGCUAAUGAGUGCCAUCCAGUCCUCUGCAAUAUUUGAGGGACCUGAUUGGCAAAAAUGCCUUUCUUGCAACUCUCGCGCGCUCUAUGAUGGCGUAUACAAGCAGGUGGGCCACAUGACUGCUGUCUGUCUGGUACAUGGGGGUGUAGAGCCACUUUUUGUUAGAGAGGCAAGUGUGUGGUCUCUACAGGCAAGUGUGUGGCCUACAUCCUCCUGUGCCAGAACUGAAAGAAAUAGUAGAAUAUGACUUCAGAGGGAAGUUGGAGAAGUUCAAUAAACAAUCUAAGAUCCAGUUAGCACAAGCUGUUGACGAGGCACAGGAAGCGGUCAUGUUGGGUCCAGUGCGAUACAUUCGUACAUUGGAGAGGGAUGCCCUGGUGGAGUCAGCCACUAAGUUCUACUUAGAAAGCAGGAUACGGGAUGCUCUUGAGCAAUUCAAAGAGGGUCUGGAGUGUCUAGGUCUCCUGCCUUACAUGAAUAGACACUCAAGCCUCUUCAGAGAGGUUUUCAUCUACGCUGAGAAACCUCUUUUGGCCAGACAUAGCUUCUCUUCAAAGCAGAGCUCUCCCCACCUGGUACCAAUCAAAGAGCAAUAGAGAGAAGAGUCAUGUUUCUGGAGGGACUGGCUGCUGG